UACGUAGGGGGCAAGCGUUGUCCGGAUUUAUUGGGCGUAAAGAGCGUGUAGGCGGCCUGACAGGUCUGCUGUGAAAACUCGAGGCUCAACCUCGAGAUGUCGGCGGAAACCGUCUGGCUAGAGUCCGGAAGAGGAGAGUGGAAUUCCUGGUGUAGCGGUGAAAUGCACAGAUAUCAGGAAGAACACCUAUGGCGAAGGCAGCUCUCUGGGACGGUACUGACGCUGAGACGCGAAAGCGUGGGGAGGCGAACAGG
rnacentral:rRNA from 1 species